rnacentral:rRNA from 1 species
UACGGAGGGGGCGAGCGUUAUUCGGAAUUAUUGGGCGUAAAGAGCGUGUAGGCGGCCAGGUAGGUCUGCUGUGAAAACUCGAGGCUCAACCUCGAGACGUCGGCGGAAACCAUCUGGCUAGAGUCCGGAAGAGGAGAGUGGAAUUCCUGGUGUAGCGGUGAAAUGCGCAGAUAUCAGGAAGAACACCCGUGGCGAAGGCGGCUCUCUGGGACGGUACUGACGCUGAGACGCGAAAGCGUGGGGAGCGAACAGG